AACUGGAUCAAGCUUCUCUUGACUAGUCACAGGAUUGAUAUUUGUUAAGGGCUGGAGGAUGAAGACAGAUUCAAUUACAUCGACAGGUCUUCCGUCAUAAGAGAUUUAUGAAAUUAUGAAGCAUCUCUGUAUGGACAUAUUGUCUGGUGACCACCAAACUCACUACUCCGCCCAGAAUGCUCCCUGUACACAGUCCAGUCACAUGAAAUUGUGCUGCAAGGAC
rnacentral:lncRNA from 1 species